rnacentral:rRNA from 1 species
AUGGAUCAGAAGAUUCCACUUAUGUUGUGUCCAAGCAGGAAAGAAUGGAUAAAAAGUUUGGGGUGCGCAUUGAAGAGCAAGGAGGUCUUUUGCAUAGGGUGGACUAUGAAUGCAAAAUGUGCAUACGCACCUACCAGAAAAAACCAGAUGUAUGACUAUUCGGUAAGCCUGCAGAGGUACCGCGAGUUGCGGAAUUGUAGUCACACCGCAAGUUUCCAGGCAUGCCACUCUGAUGAGGACUAUCACCGUCUAAAGAUGCUUUUGCAAGCACAACAUCAUGGCAAGCAAUCAAGUUUUGAACAAGCUGACAGCAAGGAGUCAACUAAUGCUCAGCAUAACAGCAUUAGGUUUGGCCCGUUGAUGCCGCACUCGCACCAAGUUGAUAAGGUUCUGGAUCUCGUGCAUGUGCCAGGACGAGGUGCACCGAAGAAAAGGCUGCAGGCAAAGACAAAGAAGUCAAGAUCACAGAAUAUUUGUGGCUAUUGCAAGAAACCAGGUCACAAUCGACGUAAAUGCGCUAAAUUGCUAGAGGAUCUCGAGGCUGAACUGUGA